rnacentral:rRNA from 1 species
UGAGUACGAGAUGCUACGGCAUCGAAGCAGUCUAUGUCAUACUUCCAAGAAAAGCUUGCACUGUCAGAAACAGAUAAUGCCUGUACCAUAACCGACACAGGUGGGUAGGUAGAGUAUACUAAGGGGCGCGAGAUAACUCUCUCUAAGGAACUCGGCAAAAUGACUCCGUAACUUCGGGAGAAGGAGUGCCUUAUUUUUAAGGUUGCAAUAACAAGAUCCAAGCAACUGUUUACCAAAAACACAGGUCUCCGCUAAGUCGUAAGACGAUGUAUGGGGGCUGACGCCUGCCCAGUGCCAGAAGGGUAAAGAAGUCGGUUAGCAUUUGCGAAGCUGGUAACUGAAGCCCUGGUGAACGGCGGCCGUAACGAUAACGGUCCUAAGGUAGCGAAAUUCCUUGUCGGGUAAGUUCCGACCCGCACGAAAGGCGUAAUGAUUUGGAUACUGUCUCGGAGAGGGGCUCGGUGAAAUAGACUUGUCUGUGAAGAUGCGGACUACCUGCACCUGGACAGAAAGACCCUAUGAAGCUUUACUGUAACUUGAAAUUGAAAUUGGACUUUAUUUGCGCAGUAUAGGUGGGAGGCGUUGAAAAUAUUCUUGCGGGAAUAUUGGAGCCAUCAGUGAGAUACCACUCUUGUAAUGUUAGAUUUCUAACUUUAUAUCAUUAUCUGGUUAAAGAACAGUUUCAGGCGGGCAGUUUGACUGGGGCGGUCGCCUCCCAAAUGGUAACGGAGGCGCACAAAGGUUUCCUCUGAACGGGUAGAAAUCGUAUCUAGAGUGUAAAGGCAUAAGGAAGCUUGACUGUGAGACCUACAAGUCGAGCAGGGACGAAAGUCGGUCUUAGUGAUCUGACGGUGCUGAGUGGAAAGGCCGUCACUCAACGGAUAAAAGUUACUCUAAGGAUAACAGGCUGAUCUCCCCCAAGAGUUCACAUCGACGGGGAGGUUUGGCACCUCGAUGUCGGCUCAUCGCAUCCUGGGGCGGUAGUACGUCCCAAGGGUUGGGCUGUUCGCCCAUGGAAGCGGUACGCGAGCUGGGUUCAGAACGUCGUGAGACAGUUCGGUCCAUAUCCGGUGUAGGCGUUAGAAUAUUGAGAGGAGCCUUCUUUAGUACGAGAGGACCGAGAAGGACAUACCUCUGGUGUACCAGUUAUCGUGCCAACGGUAAACGCUGGGUAGCUAUGUAUGGAGUGGAUAACCGCUGAAAGCAUCUAAGUGGGAAGCCCACCUCAAGAUAAGUAUUCUCACC